rnacentral:rRNA from 1 species
CAGCCGCCGCGGUAAUACCGGCGGCCCGAGUGGCGGUCACUAUUAUUGGGCUUAAAGCGUCCGUAGCCGGGUUGGGAAGUCCUCCGGGAAAUCUGGCCGCUUAACGGUCAGAAUGCCGGAGGAUACUCCCAGCCUAGGGAGCGGGAGAGGCCGAGGGUAUUCCCGGAGUAGGGGUGAAAUCCUAUAAUCCCGGGAGGACCACCUGGGGCGAAGGCGCUCGGCUGGAACGCGUCCGACGGUGAGGGACGAAGGCCAGGGGAGCAAACCGGAUUAGAUACCCGGGUAGUCCUGGCUGUAAACGAUGCGGACUUUGUGUCGGACAAGCUAUGAGCUUGUCCGGUGCCGGAGGGAAACCGUUAAGUCCGCCGCCUGGGGAGUACGGCCGCAAGGCUGAAACUUAAAGGAAUUGGCGGG